rnacentral:rRNA from 1 species
AUUGAACGCUGGCGGCAGGCUUAACACAUGCAAGUCGAGCGGAGAUGAGGUGCUUGCACCUUAUCUUAGCGGCGGACGGGUGAGUAAUGCUUAGGAAUCUGCCUAUUAGUGGGGGACAACAUUCCGAAAGGAAUGCUAAUACCGCAUACGCCCUACGGGGGAAAGCAGGGGAUCUUCGGACCUUGCGCUAAUAGAUGAGCCUAAGUCGGAUUAGCUAGUUGGUGGGGUAAAGGCCUACCAAGGCGACGAUCUGUAGCGGGUCUGAGAGGAUGAUCCGCCACACUGGGACUGAUACACGGCCCAGACUCCUACGGGAGGCAGCAGUGGGGAAUAUUGGACAAUGGGCGGAAGCCUGAUCCAGUCAUGCCGCGUGUGUGAAGAAGGCCUUUUGGUUGUAAAGCACUUUAAGCGAGGAGGAGGCUACCUGGAUUAAUACUCUAGGAUAGUGGACGUUACUCGCAGAAUAAGCACCGGCUAACUCUGUGCCAGCCGCCGCAGUAAUAC